GUGUAACAGAAGGAGCUCCCUUCCUCCAAAACGAAGAGGACAAGAUUUGAGGAACUAAAAAGCAGAAUCUAAGAGUUCAUGGAUUCCUCAUAGAGAGUGCGUAGGUUAACAAAGCACACUUUCAUGGGAUUGCAUGACCUCUUAGAUUCUUUCUUCUAUAUCUAUCCUUCUCUUCUCUUCGUUUGGAUUGAAGGGAGCUCCUUUUCUUCUUUUC